CGGGAAUGGCGCUCCUCCCGGGUGAAGAAUGCACCACUACCAGUCGGGACGCACUCGUGCACUUAGCACACAUUUACGCUCGCCUGCCGCGGGCCGCUCUCCGUGCUGGGCCUGGGAAGAGAGUCAGCCACGCCGAGGACAGUCCCGGGGGCCGGGGUUAACCGAGUGGACGCAGCUGCGGGGGAGCCCGUCGGCGCGCGUCCUGCCAGUCGUAGGGCUGGCUUGGAGAACCCAGAGUUGACAGGAUUUGUGCUUGGGAAUGGGCUUUCUUAUGGUGAGACACCAAACAGCAAGCGUGGACAGUGGAAUGCAUCCAGCCAGGAGCGUCUUCCAACAGGUUUGAUUAAAG
rnacentral:lncRNA from 1 species